rnacentral:rRNA from 1 species
GCAUGCCAGUUUGAGCGUACCCAGCAAUGGGGAGCAGCGUAAGGGGCAGUUAAGGCAUGGGUAUCUACCCGGGGAUCGGGCAUAGCCUGUAGAGAUACAGGGUAAUUCCCGAUGAUGUCGCAAGACCAAAGCUCCGGCGUCCCUGGAGGAGCCCAUGUGAUAUUAGCUAGUUGGUGGGGUAACGGCCUACCAAGGCGAAGAUGUCUAGCGGGUGUGAGAGCACGACCCGCGCCACUGGCACUGAGACACUGGCCAGACACCUACGGGUGGCUGCAGUCGAGGAUCUUCGGCAAUGGGCGCAAGCCUGACCGAGCGAGGCCGCGUGGGCGAUGAAGGCCUUCGGGUUGUAAAGCCCUGUCGAGGGGGAGAAAAGCCGCAAGGCGUGAUCUAUCCCUGGAGGAAGCACGGGCUAAGUUCGUGCCAACAGCCGCGGUAAGACGAACCGUGCGAACGUUGUUCGGAAUCACUGGGCUUAAAGGGCGCGUAGGCGGGCUAUCAAGUCCGGGGUGAAAUCCUCCAGCUCAACUGGAGAACUGCCUCGGAUACUGAUGGUCUCNAGGAGGAUAGGGGCACACGGAACUGUGGGUGGAGCGGUGAAAUGCGUUGAUAUCCAUAGGAACUCCGGUGGCGAAAGCGGUGUGCUGGAUCCUUUCUGACGCUGAGGCGCGAAAGCCAGGGGAGCAAACGGGAUUAGAUACCCCGGUAGUCCUGGCCCUAAACGUUGGGUACUAGGUAGUAGACUAGACAUGGGUUUACUUCCGGAAGCAAAAGUGCUAAUACCCCGCCCUGGGGAGUAUGGUC